UGGGUGGUUUAGUUUGGUUUUGGAUUUUUUUUUGUUUUUGUUUAUUUAUUUUUUUUUUAAUUUUCAGGGCAUUUUACUGGUCUCACUGGCAGCAAGUUCUCUGUGUUCUGGGACUGACUCAGCAGCAGUGGGAUUUAUACAAUUUAUUGCACUGGAGGCAAAAUUCAAUCUCCAAAGCCAGUAAAUAAUUCUUCCCACUUUUUUUCCAGAGAUGUGGGAUGAUGUAGCUGCAUUUCUUGAGCUUGUUACUUUUUUGAUAAUUUCUUGGCAUCCCAACUUGGGCAUAUGCUAUUUUCAUAAGGGACUCUGAAACAAGAAAGGUUUGUGUGGGAACUGACAGUGGUCAAAUAAGAGAUUUUUAAGCUUCAGGCAUUAGCUUGAGCCUGUGUGAAACCAAGUCACAUAACUUUCUUAGACUGACCUGAGAAGUGUGGCUUGGGAAAUCAUAAGGAGGAAUCCACACAGUCCUUGGAAAGGAAAAUAACCUUUGCAGGUGUUGUUUGCAUCCUUGUUGUUUACUUACAAGAAACAGUCAAGGGGUGGUGUUCCAAUUGUCCAGUGAUGGUGCUGUGUUAAUGUUAAGUUAUGUUAAUGUUAAUGUUAAGUUUCACCUCUCAGACCCUUCUAUGAAACAUCUGUAAUAAUAAAACUUGCUUUCUUGUACAACCCAGCUAGAGAGUCUGUGUUGUGCUUCACUGUUCCUAAUAUAGUGCGGCAGGUUUGCAGUAUUCUCUGAUUCUUCAGAUCAGCACUGAACACCACUUAGGGCUUUUCUGAUGCUUUUGUAGUGAAAGCUUCUCCUGCCAUUCAGGAGGUGAGUGGAGGCUUAACCAUAGAGUUAAGCCUGUUUGGUUUUAGUCAACCGGUUCUGAAUGAAAAUACUUUGUAAAAUGAAACCCCCAAAUUCUGAUUAAAUUGUCUCACAUCCAUCCACUCUUCAUCAGCUUCCAGUUUUAUCUUGCAAACCUGCAUGUUAAUGAGUUGUUACUCCAGCUAGUUGUGUGGGCAAGUGCAAUAGCACAUACUUGCUUCCUGGUGAAAAUAAAUUUUAUUUGGGUCUAGCUGCACUGAUCUGCUGUCAAGCUCAAUAUGUGGGAUAUAUCUGCUCUCUGUGCAUUGAGGUAAUUUAGACAGAACUGGUAGAGGUUUUAUCUUUUUUGCAACUUGAGGACCACCUAAAAAUGUCACAGCUGGGCCAGAGACUUCUGUGUAGUGAGUGACAUUGAAUCAUACUUACAGCAGACUUGUAUUUACUCAGCUUUCAAGAAGUAGCAUGCUGGUGUUGGGCUACCUGGAGGACCAGCGAUUUUCAGUAUUGCUCUUUUACUUUAUCAGUCUCCAUUUGUCAAAACUCAGGAUAUCUGUUAAUCAUGUUUAUUUUUGUUGCCAAUAAUCUGGAGCUUUUUGAUGAUUCUUUGUGAUGAUCUAGAUCUUUAAGCUUUGGGUUUUUGCUGUCUUAUAUACAAUGAGACAUAUAACUUUUUUCACACACAGAUGCAUUAGAGACACAGUCUUCUUAUUUCUCACAUGCUUUAAGUAGUUCUUUCUAUUACUUGAAUGUUUGCCUUUUAAUGAUGUUUUUCGUGUCCUUAUGUCCUCUGAGACAGGGUGAUGACUGUGUUUAAAGCCUAUUGCUAAGCUGGCAUUUGUAGCAGUGUAAGAAUUUGCCUACAGCUAUUGAUUUUUCUAUCUCUUCCUCCCUUCCCCCUCUUUUUUUCUUUUUACUUUUAUUUUUUUACUUUAUUUUUUUUUACUUUUUUCCCCCAUUAUCACAUGUAUGGCACUAAGUGACAGAUCACUGAAAAACAGCACAAUGUGUUCUACAGGCAGCAAUGUUUCAAAGCGUUUAUUAGGCAUGUGGUUUUGCAGAACUGACAGUUGCUUCUGGAGGACCUGUCUGAGAAGUAUCAGAGAACUGUUUCAGUGUUUCAGAGGCUUGGUGAUGAGCUUCAACAGUACCUGGUACUUUCAGAGAAGAAAGCGCUGCUCUUGGAGCUGUAAGCGUCUUUUGACUUAGGAACUUGUGGAGGUGAGCGUGAGAGCUCAUCCUGCUUCAAUAGACCCAUGCUCUAAUGCAUGGGUGUGAAACCUGGCUCCCUUACAGUCAGUGGCAACAUUCCCAAUGACUUCAGUACAGCCAGGAUUCUUCAGCUGAGCUACAACACAGCACCAUGUUAUGUGUCCUGUUCUACACAUCACCAACAGCAAAGUGAGGUGAAAUAAAAUUGUAUUGGUAAGUUGCACAAGUGUGUUGAGGUCAUCUCCUUUCUGCUUCUGCAGAAUCAGUUGCUUACUUCUGCAGUCUGGUUUUGCACAUAGCAUCAGUCCCCCAAAAACUGAUGAAUUAAAAUAGGGUUAAAAGUAAGACGGUUGUUUUGGGAGCUGGUGGUGGCAAGAAAGAUUGGUACAUUGGCAACUUGUGAGGAAACUAUGAACUGAGUCUCCAUUGCCCUGCUGUGACUCUGCACAAGUUCUUAGCAUAGAGGUAAUGAGCAAGUAAAUGCCAAGAGGUGUUUUUAAACAACACAUGGCUAUCUGAAUGUCUUUGACAGAUACAAACCAGAUUACUCAUCCAAUGUUUGUCAAACAAGAGUGUUACUUUUAAUGACAAGAGGAGUGCCAUGAGGCCUCAGGGUUGCAUUGUUAGACUUAGAUCAGCACUGUGAUAUUUGGUUCAAAUGUGCAUGCAAAACUUUAAAGUUACAGACUUCUCCUACCUAGCAGAAAUCAUGAUAUACAAUGCAUAUGUAGUAGCUGCUUAUUGCCUCAUCUGCUCUUGAUUCUGGUUUGUUUUAGCACCAUGGUUGUAAAGCUGGAUAUGUCUGCAAUGGUCAGUAAGAAUCGGUAUGUUAUUGUAAUGUUGACUACAAGUGAAGAGUUUGGGUUUUUUAGGAGACUUUUAUUUGCAUUAUGAUGUAUUUUUUAUAAUCACAGAAUAUUCCGUGUUGGAAUGGACCUAUAGCAACCAUUGAGUCCAACUCUUACGUGAAUAGACCAUUUGGAGAUCAAACCCAUGACCUUGCUGCUAUUAGCACUGUGCCCUAAUGUGGGUGUGUAGUUCUAGUGCUGAAUUUACAGAAGAUGAGUUAAAUUCUCUUUAGAAACCCCACAAAUGAAAGAAAGCAGAUAGUGGAGACAUAUUGCUAACAAGGACAGCAUAAUUUAGACUUCUUGUGAUUAGUACCAAAGGUGAGUGAUGUUACAUAAGUACUUACGUUCUUUACAUUUUUGUUGGCUUUGGAAGACUUUGUUUUGGGAUGUAGCUUUUCCUGCUGUCUCACUGCAAUGGAAAAAGUUAUAUGGUUCAAAUAAAUAACAAAACCAUUAAUUUCCAAACCAAGAUAUUUAAUUUUUUCUUCAUUAUUUUUGUGCUGAUAAUGAGCCUUUUUAGUUACCAUAACCAAUAUAUCACAAGGCUCUAUUUGGUGUAAUGAGGAAUGAGCUCUCUUUUUUUUCGUUUUGACUAUAUGAAACUUCAGCAAUGUUUGGGAUGAUAGUGGUUGUUCUUUCUGCAGCAGCAGAGGAGUAAUACAGCAGUUGAAUUCCUGUAGAGAGCCUUUUCUAGUUACUCUUCAGCUCCUGCUAUCACCCAGUCUUUUGUGAACCAGAAGUAAAUAUGCUACUGGAUAUCAGAGAUCAGGCUUCCUGGUUUUUGUUUGUCCCUACAGGAAUAACAAGUCACCUGCAGAAAAGGCUGAAUGCCAGCUGGAAACAUCCUCGUGAGAUGAAUGUGCUUCUGAUGAAAAUCAGUCUAUGCUCCACACAAGUGUGUGUGUUAGGCUCGGUUGUAAUGCUGCCCUAAGAUUCCUUGAAGGAAGUUUUUAGAUCUUCUAAAGCCACCUUUCAACAUUAAUUUCUUCAUGUUAUUAAUUUAUUCUAGUGCAUGUAAGCAUCUGUUAGAAGUUUAUAGGGGAAUCUUAUAAAAUGAUCAGUGACAGUACUAGGUUGUGAAAGCUUCAGAGCAGCCAGAAAAAAAGAGAGGCAGUGGUAGAGGAGUAGAUAGCUAGAGAAAACUUCGUUGCCACUUACGACCUAUUCAUCCUAACAUAAGCUUGGGAGUAGCUUUGUUUGGGCUUACAGAUAAUUAUAAAAAUAUUCAUUAAAAUAUCCUUUAAUCUGUGAUUUUUCAAGCACCGAACCAAGACAAGUAAGUUACAAUUCGUGUUCUAGACAGAAGGAUUACCAACCUAGCUAAAUUAUUUGUAUGGGACUGAGCUUUCAAUGCAGAAUGAAUACUAGAUGUCCUAGUAUUCUCCUCCUACCUCCAAGUAAUUUAAUCUGAGGUUUGAUAUAAAAUAUCCUGAUUUGGUAACAGCAGGUGUAUUGUCAGAACAAAAAGAUGACCAGCAUGCUUGUGAUAUGCAGUAGUUAAAUAAAUGGGGAGUCUGAAGCCUUAGUUCACUCUUGUCAGAUAAGCUGAGCUCUGUGCCUGGAUGCAUCCACGUGAAUAUCCUCAUGCUGUUUCACCAUAUGCCUUAGCACUGGCAUAGCUGUCUUUUGAAGAAGAGAAGCCCUGCCCUUGGGGAAGGUUUUCCUUUGUGUUGAGACCUCACUGAACUAGUCAAAAAAGGGUUGGUGGUGGGGUGGUAGUUGGGAUGUGCACAAUACAGUUCCCUAACAGAAAGUUGAGGAGUAACAUAUUAAAGUUGAGGAGUAACAGGCUUCAGAUGCCUACUGUGUUUGGUUGCUAUUUCUAGAGAUAUUGGAGAAGGUUAAGGUGUCUCUAGCUUGUUCCUAGAAUGAUACGUGUUCAAUGUGAGCUAUAAAGGCACAGUUUUCCUUUUCCCUUCCUAUCCUACCAUUUAUAUCCUUAAAUGGAUUUGAACUAUUGACCCUGGAGAUUUCUGGUGUGUCAGAAGCCUUGUGCAAUUCUUCUAAUCUUUCUGAUUUCUGAAUCUGUUGGAUGGAUGUUUGAAAUCACUGAUGUUUAUUUGAAAUUCCACUCUGAAUUUUGUACUCUGAAGAGUACAAAAUGUGGUACAUCUUGAGUAAUCAGUUGCAUGCUGGCAUCCAGGACCUGUAAUUUAUCCAAACCCCACACUUUUGGGAUGUGCUGCAGGUCAGUCAAGGACUUACCUUACUACUGUGCUAAUUUCCGUGUUCUUUAGCUUUAAGGAGUAAUCAGUAACAUAUCUUCCCUAAAAGUGUGCAUAAUGAGAGAGAAAUGUUGGCAAGAAUAAAGUAUCCCCUGUUAUAUUUCAUGCAUUUCAUCUAUAUAAAUAUUUUUUGUCAAAAGUAUAAGCAAGAAGUGUGUAAAAUUGAAGACGUGUUUCUCUGCCUUCAUGCUUGAGCUGAAGAUGCUGAGCUGGAGAUACUCAUCUUCUUUGACUUAAUUGUCUUGAGUAUGAACAUUUGUCUUCCUUGGGCUGUUUCCUGCUCUGUAGUGCUAUAAAGGGUGUGCAGGGACCUUGUGAUGAGAGCAAGCAUCUAUAACUUGGGGCUUGUGCUGUUUGUCCAUAACAUGGUCUUGGUACUAGGACCCUGAUUAGAAUUACAUACUGUCACAGUGUCUAUAGCUGUUCUUUGUGUGACUUCAAAGAAUGCACAGGUAAUUUUUGUCUAAUGUAGAUACUUGUAACUUACCCUAAAAUGUAGUCAGAAUACAUUUACAUAAGACACACUUAAGAUGAACCACUUUGAUACUGCUGAUUGCUGUGUGUGUUAUUUAUUUCCUAAUUAUUUUUUGUUUGGGUUUGGUUUGGUUUUCUUCCCAAACAAGGAAGUGGAGCAGGCACUUUGGAUUCUUUAAUUUGUUUCUUUUCUGGUUCAUUCCCUGUCUCCUGC